ACUCCAAAAUAGACGGUGGGUUCCACUGCGUAUUUAUCCAGCUGCUUCUUUAGAGGCUUCUCCAAAUCUACCCACCGGCGCUGGUUCUGCUUGUUGUAGUACCAGAGGCUGAAUCUUCACAUGCACAGUUCCCUAACAUCAAUUACGUUCAUCACGUCGGUCACCCAUCGCCGUUAACCGUGGCUGAACUUUUUACCAGUGGAAUAUUUGUUAACAUUUACUACGCACCAGGUGAGUUCUGAGACACUCAGGUAUGCUGUGGAUUGAAUCUUCACCACUCCCCUCAUGUACCAGCCAUUUUCAUCUGUGUGAAACGAGUGUAUUUCCAAGUACUGUCCCUGGACCACCGCCAUCAGAAUCACCUGGAGAGCAUCCUGGACCUUGUACCCCAGAGUUACUAAACCUCCAGUUAAUUCCUGUGCCCAUUAAAGUUUGAAAACCACUGCAUUUGCCACACUGCCCCAUCAUCACGCAGGAGAAAAGGCACACAACCAAUCCAUGCUGGAAAACCUGGAGACAAUAGGAUGCUACGAAGAACACAAAGACCCUGCAACACACAAGGGCCACCACUGAAGAAGUCUGAGCUGCACUGAAGACACUGGUGAAAAGCAAGGCUCCAGGAACUGACAGAAUACCAGUGGAGAUGUCUCAACAAAUGGAUGCAGCACUGGAAGUACUCACUUGUCUCUGCCAAGAAAUCUGGAAGACAGCUGCCUAGCCAACAGACUGGAAGAGAUCCAUAUUUAUGCCAUUCCCAACAAAGGUGAGCCAACCAAAUGCAGAAAUUAUUGAACAAUAUCACACACAACUAAAAUGUUGCAGAAGAUCAUUCAAAAGCAGCUGCAGCAGUAUAUCCACAGGGAACUGCCAGAAACUUAAGCCAGAUUCAGAAGAGGAGGUGAAACCAGGGAUGUCAUUGCUGAUGUCAGAUGGAUCCUGGCUGAAAGUAGAGAAUACCAGAAAAAUGUUUAUCUGUGUGACUAUGCAAAGGCAUUCAACUAUGUGGAUCAUAACAAAUUAUGGGUAACACUGUGAAGAACGAGAAUUCCAGAACACUUAAUUGUGCUCAUGAGGAACUUGUCCAUAGAUUAAGAGGCAGUUGUUUAAACAGAACAAAGUGAUACUGUGUGGUUUAAAUUCGAGAAAGGUGUGCGUCAGGGUUGUACCCUUUCACCACACCUAUUCAAUCUGCAUGCCAAGUAAAUAAUCUGAGACGCUGGAUGAUAUGAAGAAGAAUGAGGCAUCAGCAUUGAAGGAAGCCUCAUCAACAAUCUGCGUUAUGAAGAAGACAAAACCUUGCUUGCUGAAGAGGACUUGAAGUACUUACUGAUGAAGAUCAAAGACCACAGCCUUCAAUAUGGAUUACACCUCAACAUAAAGAAAACAAAAAUCCUCACAACUGGACCAAUAAGCAAAAUUAUGAUAAAUGGAGCAAAGUCUGAAGUUGUCAAGGAUUUCAUUUCACCUGGAUUCACAAUCAACACCCAUGGAAGCAGCAGUCAAGAAGUCAAAACACACAUUGCAUGGCGCAAAGCAGCUGCAAAAAACCUCUUUAAAGUGUUGAAAAGCAAAGAUAUCACCUUGAAGACUAAGGUGCGCCUGACCCAAGCCCUGGUAUUUUCAAUCAUCUUAUGUGCAUGUGAAAGCUGGAUGAUGAAUAAGGAAGACCAAAGAAGAACUGACGCCUUUGAAUUGUGGUGUUGGCAAAGAAUAUUAAAUAUAUCACGGACUGCCAAAAAGAAUGAAUAAAUCUGUCUUGGAAGAAGUACAACCAGAAGGCUCCUUGGAAGCAAGAAUGGCGACACGACAUCUCACAUACUCUGGACAUAUUAUCAGGAGGGAUCAGUCCCUGGAGAAGGACAUUAUGCUUGGUAAAGUAGAGGGUCAGUGAAAAAGAGGAAGACCCUCAACGAGGUGGAUUGACACGGUGGCUGCAACAAGGGGUUCAAGCAUACCAAGGAUUGUGAGGAUGGUGCAGGACCAGGCAGUGUCUCCUUCUGUUGUACAUAGGAUCACUAUGAGUCAGAACUGACUCGACAGCACCUAACAACAUAACAACACCACAAUUGAGUUUUAAUGGGAUUCCUCUUAAACGAUGUUCCUCAUCAACCACCAAGGCACAGAAAAAACAACCCACUGCAGACAAGUCAAUUCCAACUCAUAGUGACCCUAUAGGACAGAGUAGAACUGCCCCAUAGGAUUUCCAAGGAGCCACUGGUGGAUUCAAACUGCCGACCUUUUGGUUAGUAGUCAAUCUCUUAACUACUGUGCCACCAGGGAUUCAAGGCACAGAGGGCACCUCAUGAAGUAAAGGUGUGUAACUCAGAAACAUAUAGCCAGUAUUUUUUAGUGAGUCGGAAUCAACUCAGUGGCAAUGGGUUUGGCUUUUUUUUGUUUGUUUGCUUAAGUACCAUAAUGCCAGUUACAUUUUAUUCCAAGAAAUGCUAUGUAAAAAUAGAUAAGGCAAGAUAUUUUCAUUAUAUUUAAAAGUAGAAAGGGAUGAACUGGCAUGAGUAUGUAUGCGCUAUCGGGAAAACAGGAAUUAUUCUAUAGUCAUUAUCCUCUAUCCAAGGAAUACAAAUAAGUCUCAAUGAAAACAUAGAUAAUAAAGGUUAAAUGACAGAAACAUGACAAGCAGAUUUUAAAAUGGAAUAACAAUGUAUAGUGGCUCCGUCCUCAUGCUCAUCACUCAGACUGUAGAAGAAAAACACUUGUGUGGUAUGAGCUGCCACAGCGACCACUAAGAACACCUGCACGCACAGCGUUGAUCCGCAGCCCUCAGUGUGGCAGCCAGCACUUCAAGGGACUCACAGCUCUACCACUGUUUCUCGUUGGGACACAGAUUCUAACUCCGGGAGCCCCCCAAACUCAUCCAAAAGCAGUGCAACCAGAUAUUGCUUUGGAGAACCUCUCAGCAGGGAAUUCUCCUGGGGUAUAUUUCAUCAGCCUGAUACCUCCGACUCUGCCAGGAACAAGUCAUGCGAGGCUUCCUAUCCAACAGCUCUGCCCUAAGCGCUCCAGGCAUUCCCGGAGGGGUCUUACUGGUCUAAUUAGGAUUCACAUUUCUUCUUAUGCUUAUCCUUCUUUGCCUGAUGUGGCUUCCAAAGCACAACUUCAAGCAAAACAAUAAACUGCCAUAAUUAAAAUAAGUGACAAAAAAUUACCCUGAGAGUUCUUCAACAAUCUCCAGCAGAUCUGGGAGACUGCGGGCUGCCCAUCACCUGCUCAAGGUUAUACAACUGUGAGGAAAGAUGCUGGUCAAGGGCUCAGAAAAACUACUCCAGUUGUGGCUCCUGCCAUGUAGCUGUGAGCAAGUUACUUAACACCUCUGUGUCUCAGUUUACCCUUCUGUAAAAUAGAGAUGAAGAUAAUAGUACCUCACCCGUAGGAUCGUUGGAGGAACAAAAUAAGUGAAAACAUUUAAGGCACUUACAAGAGUAUCUCACACAUAGGAAGUCCUCAUACGAUAUUAGCUCUUAUUAUCAUAGUUUUCCAGUCCCCUUAAACAGUAUAAAAUUUCACAUGGUAUCUUAAUUAAAAAGAAAACAGUUGCCAUUGAGUCAAUUCUGAGUAAUGGUGACCCCACAUGUGUCAGAGUAGAACUGUGCUCCAGAGGGUUUUCAAUGGCUGUGACCUUUCGGACGCAGAUCACCAGGCCUUCCUUCUGAGGUACCUAUGGGUGGAUUUGAACCAACAAUCUUUCUGUUAGCAGCCAAGCACUUAACCAUUUAUGUCGCCCAGGGAUUCCUUCAUCUGACAUACUUGGUUUAACCUAAAUUGAUCUGGCAAGUCAAAAAAGUCUGAGCCAUCUAAAUAACUGUAACAUGACUAAGUCAAGACAAGUUUUUAUAUUCACAGAGAAAAUGAGCUUAUGCUAUCCAGCAUGAGAUUAGCCUGCUCGGUCAAAACUUAUUCAAAAUAACACAAUUACUCUGUCCUAUUCGUAAGUAAAUCUAGACACCGUAUACAAGUGAUCUCAACUGAGUUAGAAAGUGGUAAAUGUCCUUGAUAGAAGUUAUUUCUACUACAUGCUGCUAAUUCUCAUAUAGCAUUUGCGAUAUACAUAGGUUCUUCUAGUGAAAUUAGCAUCUUAAGCAAGAAUUUAAAUCAACUCUGGACAACCUGUCAGUUCACUGAAAGAGAAAGGAAAUUUACGUGACAUUUGUUUAUGAAUAGACUGCUUGGAGAACCAAAUAGGAAAAUAUUUGCUCAACCAGCAUAUUGUUAAGAAAGCGCUAUGAGUAAAGUCCAUGUUUAACAGAAAAGAAAAUACAGAGAAUGUAGGAUGUGUAUCUGACAAGAAGAAUGAAGGAGAGGGCUUAUAAUUAGCUGGGGAAUUUGGUUCAUAUAUAUGCAUGUGAAAGCUGGACAACAAAUAAGGAAGACCAAAGAAGAAAUGAUGCAUUUGAACUGUGGUGUUGGCAAAGAUUACUAAAUAUACCAUGGACUGCCAGAAGAACAAACAAAUCUGUCUUGGAGGAAGUACAGCCAAAAUGCUCCUUGGAAGCAGGGAUGGCAAGACUUUGUCUCAUGUAUUUUGGACAUUGCAGUGCAAUGAAUUACUUAAUAUGGCCCUCAUAACCACAGUCUUUGUAACUCCCAUCAAAUGAUUGAGUAGGACCAUGUUAAUAAGACAGAUGGAGCCCUAACAAGGGGAUUGGUUGGUUUUCCCAUCCCACUAGGCUUAAAAUAAGCCAUCCCAGAGGCAAGAUGGAAACCCUGGUAGCGUAGUGGUUAAGAGCUAGAGCUCUUAACUAAAAGGUCAGCAGUUCAAAUCCACCAGGUGCUCCCUGGAAACCCAAUGGGGUAUUUCUACUCUGUCCUAUAGGGUUACUAUGGGUCAGAAUCAACUCGACGGCAGUGGGUUUUAGUUUUAGAGGCAGGAGGAGAGGAUCUUACCACCACCAAGGAAGAAGAGCCAGGAGCGGAGCACAUCCUUUGGACCUGAGAUCCCUGCCUGGAACCAAGAGACUGAGAGACAGAGCUGUAACACUGAAGAUGGCAAGAAGCGGAGGCAGAGAAAUGGUGGCAGGAGAGACCAGCAGGAGAUGGCACAGUGGGCUUCCUGGCCAAAAGAGCAAGAAAGCUGAGUGCCGUUGGGCAGGAGACUUGCUGGUGGAGAAGAGUGCCUCUGGGCACUUACUGGAGCUAGGUUUGCCAACCCACAGAGCUAGUGCUGAGCACCUUCAGGCUGAGGCUUACUGGCAGAGUUGGGUACCUCUGGGCACUCAGAGGCAGAGCUAAAAGAGCUUUGUUACACUUGCCCGAGCAAGUAAGAGGCUGACGGGCCAGAGAGAGGCCAGCCUGUCUAUGGGCAUGGCUGAGAAGAGGCUAUCCUGAUGGAAGAACUGUAUCCUGAGCAUUCCUAAACCUGAAUUAUAACCUGUUACUUCCCCUAAUAAACCCCAUAACUAUGAGUAUGGUCUGUGAGAUCUGUGUGGCCAUUGCAAUGAAUUAUCUAACUCAGCAAAGAAAUGCUGUGGGAGGCACAGUUGGUGUCAGAAUUGGUAAAGAUGGCAGAGAGAAGUAUGUCUGACCUCUACCUCAAAGGAAUCAGCCUUGGGCUACUGAUCCUGAUUCUCCUUCCUCCUUGUGAAGUUAGAGGAGGUCAGACGCUGCUGCCGUGUUAUUUUUACAAACAUGUGAUCAGGAAGGACCAGUCUCUGGAGAAGCGUAUUAUGCUUGGUAAAGUACAGGGUCAGCAAAAAAGAAGACGACCUUCAACUAGAUGGACUGACACAGUGGCUGCAACGAAAGGCUCAAACAUAGCAAUGAUUGUGAGGAUGGCACAAGACUGCAGUGUUUCAUUCUGUUGUACAUGGGGUGGCUAUAAGUUGGAACCAAAUUAACAGCACCUAACAACAACAAUCGCCAAAGCGUUACCAUACACCUACUUCAUAGGUAGACACAAAGGUGCCGCCAGGAGGGGAAGACUGAUAUGGAUCUGUCAUCAGGGGAGCAAUGAAGAAAUUCACACUCACAACCUCCUGUCUUUCCUCCCUGAAAGGGUUUUUCCUUAAUAGCAGCUGAAAGGUUGGUGGUUCAAACCCACCCAGCAACUCCACAGAAGAAAUAGGCCCGGCAAUCUGCUUCUGUAAAGAUUACAGCCAAGAAAAUCCUGUGGAGAGACGUAAAAGACCUAUACAAAGAAAACUACAAGACACUACUGCAAGAAACCAAAAGAGACCUACGCAAGUGGAAAAACAUACCUUGGUCAUGGAUAGGAAGACUUAACAUUGCAAAAACGUCUGUUCUACCAAAAACCAUCUAUAGAUACAAUGCAAUUCCAAUCCAAAUUCCAACAACAUUUUUUAAUGAGAUGGAAAAGCAAAUCACCAACUUCAUAUGGAAGAGAAAGAGGCCCCAGAUAAGUAAAGCAUUACUGAAAAAGAAGAACAAAGUGGGAGGCCUCACUCUACCUGAUUUUAGAACCUAUUAUACUGCCACAGUAGUCAAAACAGCCUGGUACUGGUACAACAACAGGCACAUAGACCAAUGGAACAGAAUUAAGAAUCCAGUCAUAAAUCCAUCCACAUAUGAGCAGCUGAUAUUUGACAAAGGCUCAAAGUCAGUUAAACGGGGAAAAGACAGUCUUUUUAACAAAUGGUGCUGGCAUAACUGGAUACCCAUCUGCAAAAAAAUGAAACAAGACCCAUACCUCACACGAUGCACAAAAACUAACUCAAAAUGGAUCAAAGACUUAAAUAUAAAAUCGAAAACGAUAAAGAUAAUGGAAGAAAAAAUAGGGACAACACUAGGAGCCCUAAUACGUGGCAUGAACAAUAUAUAAAACAUUACUAAAAAUACAGAAGAGAAACUAGAUAACUGGGGAGCUCCUAAAAAUCAAACACCUUUGCUUAUCCAAAGACUGCACCAAAAGAGUAAAAAGAUUACCUACAGACUGGGAAAAAGUUUUUGGAUAUCACAUUUCCGAUCAGCGCCUGAUCUCUAAAAUCUGCAUGAUACUGCAAAAACUCCACUACGAAAAGACAAAUAACCCUAUUAAAAAAUGGGCAAAAGAUAUCAACAGGCACUUCACUAAAGAAGACACUCAGGCAGCGAACAGAUACAUGAGGAAAUGUUCACGAUUAUUAGCCAUUAGAGAAAUGCAAAUCAAAACUACAAUGAGAUUCCAUCUCACUCCAACAAGGCUGCCAUUAAUCCAAAAAACACAUAAUAAUAAAUGUUGGAGAGGUUGUGGAGAGACAGGAACACUUAUACACCGCUGGUGGGAAUGUAAAAUGGUACAACCACUUUGGAAAUCGAUUUGGCGCUUCCUUAAAAAGCUAGAAAUAGAACUACCAUACGAUCCAGCAAUCCCACUCUUUGGAAUAUAUCCUAGAGAAGUAAGAGCCUUUACAUGAACAGAUAUAUGCACACCCAUGUUCACUGCAGCACUGUUUACAACAGCAAAAAGAUGGAAGCAACCAAGGUGCCCAUCAAUGGAUGAAAAGAUAAAUAAAUUAUGGUAUAGUCACACAAUGGAAUACUACGCAUCGAUGAAGAACAAUGAUGAAUCCAUGAAACAUUUCAGAACAUGGAGGAAUCCGGAAGGCAUUAUGCUGAGUGAAAUUAGUCUAUUGCAAAAGGACAAAUAUUGUACAAGACCACUAUUACAAGAACUCAAGAAAUAGUUCAAACAGAGAAGAAAAUAUUCUUUGAUGGUUAUAAGAGGGGAAGGGAGGGAGAGGAGUUUUCACUAAUUAAAUAGUAGUUAAGAACUGUUUUAGGUGAUGGGAAAGACAACACACAAUACAGGAGAGGUCAGCACAACUGGAAUAAACCAAAAGCAAAGAAGUUUCCUGAAUAAACUGAAUGCUUUGAAGGCCUGCAUAGCAGGGGUGGGGGUUUAAGGACCAUGGUUUCAGGGUACAUCUAAAUCAAUCAGCACGAUAAAAUCUAUUAAGAUAACAUUCUACAUCCCAUUCUGGAGAGUGGCAUCUGGGGUCUUAAACUCUAGCAAGCAGCCAUCUAAGAUCCAUCAAUGGUCUCAACCCACCUGGAGCAAAGGAGAAUGAAGAACGCCAAAGGCACAAGGUAAUUAUGAACCCAAGAGACAGAAAGGGCCACAUAAACCAGAGACUACAUCAGCCUGAGACCUGAAGAACUAGAUGAUGCCUGGCCACAACUGAUGACUGCCCUGACAGGAAACACAACACAGAACCCCUGAGGGAGCAGGAGAGCAGUGGGAUGCAGACCCCAAAUUCUUGUAAAAAGACCAGACUUAAUGGUCUGACUGAGACUAGAAGAACCCUGGAGGUCAUGGUCCCCAGACCUUCUGUUAGCCCAAGACAGGAACCAUUCCCAAAGCCAACUCUUCAGACAGGGAUUGGACUGGACAAUGGGACAGAAAAUGAUACUGGUGAAGAGUGAGCUUCUUGGAUUCAAGUAGACAGAUGAGCCUAUGUUGGCAUCUCCUGUCUGGAGGGGAGAUGGGAGGGCGGAGAGGGGCUCAGAAGCUGGCCGAAUGGGCACGAAAAGAGAAGAGUGGAGGGAAGAAGUGUGCUGUCUCACUAGGGGGAGAGCAAUUAGGAGUAUAUAGCAAGAUGUGUAUAAAUUUUUGUAUGAGAGACUGACUUGAUUUAUAAACUCUCAUUUAAAGCACAAUAAAAAUUAAAAAAGAAAGAAAGAAAAGAAAAUCCUGUGGAGCAGUUCUAUUCUGUAACACAUGCGGCAGCCAUGAGUUGGGGGUCAACUCAACAGCAGCUAACAACAACAACAAAGUUGUUUUAGGGAGGGAGUGAAUAAUCCACAAAUGGCCUUUUCUGAGAUCUGAAGAUGAGGGCCACUGAAAAGGGGCAUUUCGGGGUAGGGAGGUAGCAUCUUUCACAGGUAAAUUAUUUUCUUAAAAAUAUGAAGGUCUUGAAUUGUUCACAAAUGUCACUUCCUGCCAGUACCUUCACUUUUGGGAAAGAAAGACUGAGGAGGAAAGGUCCUGUUAUGCCAAGAGAAGGAGAAAGAUUGCAUCAUUCGGGAGGCCUCCAGGCCCAUGGCCAGAGCUCAUGGAUAGAUCUGGGGGAUCCAUAAGCCUCCCGAAAUUGUACCCAAAAUUCUACAUGUUUAUUAGAUUCUCAAAAAGCCCAUGACCCCCAUAAAUUUAAAAGUCAAAAUUCAAGCAGAAGUCUGACAAAUGUGAACUCAAAUUCUGGCUCUUCUAACAGCUGUGUGAUCCUGAGCAAAUCAACCAACCUUUCAGAACCUCAGUAACCUCACCUAAAAUGGAAAAGAUAAUGCCUAACUCACUGUGAGGAUUAAAUAAGGUAAUGCAGGCUAAGCUUCCAGCCCAAUAAUGUUCAUCCACCCAAAUGGAGAGCAGCAGGAGGCCACUGAAGCUUCUAGUAUUAUUAUAAGAAAUGGACUCUGAAACCACACACCAAGGACAAUGACAGAACUGAGAGAGAGCCCCCAAAACGCUGUAAGUUCCCCCAUGUCUGCCAUUUUGUAACUCAACUCAGAGACCUCUCCAUAUGAGCAACUUCACGCUUAAGUCCAUAUGGUCAUGAGACUACCCUAUUGUGGCAAAUUAAUGGCGAGUGAGAUUAAAGGACAUUUUUGAUCUCUCUUAACCGAAAAACUCAAUAAUAUAAGAAAACCAACUAAGACCUUAAAUGUAUUAGACAUUAAGCUAAGGUUGGGAGUUGCUGGAUGGUGCAAAUGAUUAGCAAGCUCAGGUGCUAACCAAAAGGUUGGAGGUUCUAGUACAAGCAGAGGCACAUCAGAAGGCAUGGCAAUCUACUUCCAAAAGGUCAGUCGUUGAAAACCUUAUGAAGCCAGUUCUACUCUGACAAACAUGGGGUUGCCAUGAGUUGGAGUUGGUGGCAACUGGGUUGGUUUGUUUGUUUUUGGUUAAGCUAAAGUUGAGUAAUACUCCAUAAUACUUCAUUUCUUUAAAUAAAAAGGUUUCCAAAUUCUGUAAUUACUAUGUGAUGAUGUAUUAUGUACUUUAAAAUGCACAGUAUAUCCAUGAUUCCAUGUGUCAUUCCUAUACUAAAGUAUGUGGCCAAUUCUUAAUUUUCUAGGCCAAAUAAAAAAAGCAAUAGAAAAUCUAAAAUUUGCAAAAAAAUCCUUGAUCAUUUAUCAUUGGUUUUAGAAGGUGGAAAGCUUUAUGUAGGUAGGGAGACCAAUCUAACAUUUAAAUUUGCUUUCAGUAGUCCAACGGAUCCAACUGAAAAUAUUUACUGAGCUUGUCUAUACCUCUUACCACCGAAAAAAAUCCUAUUUGUUUUAUAGCAUACAUACCCGAAUGCAUAACUACUUAGCCCAAAAUGUUUACAGGUUUUAUACUUUUACCUUACACAUAUUUCAGCUAUUUUUAAAGUCCAAAUGGAAACAGCUAGCACAGAAGGAAAUCCACAUGAAAU